rnacentral:rRNA from 1 species
AUUGAACGCUGGCGGCAGGCCUAACACAUGCAAGUCGAGCGGAUGAGUGGAGCUUGCUCCAUGAUUCAGCGGCGGACGGGUGAGUAAUGCCUAGGAAUCUGCCUGGUAGUGGGGGACAACGUUUCGAAAGGAACGCUAAUACCGCAUACGUCCUACGGGAGAAAGCAGGGGACCUUCGGGCCUUGCGCUAUCAGAUGAGCCUAGGUCGGAUUAGCUAGUAGGUGAGGUAAUGGCUCACCUAGGCGACGAUCCGUAACUGGUCUGAGAGGAUGAUCAGUCACACUGGAACUGAGACACGGUCCAGACUCCUACGGAGGCAGCAGUGGGGAAUUUUGGACAAUGGGCGCAAGCCUGAUCCAGCAAUGCCGCGUGCAGGAUGAAGGCUGGUGUAGCUGC